rnacentral:rRNA from 1 species
AACGAACGCUGGCGGCAGGCUUAACACAUGCAAGUCGAGCGCCCCGCAAGGGGAGCGGCAGACGGGUGAGUAACGCGUGGGAAUCUACCCAUCUCUACGGAAUAACGCAUGGAAACGUGUGCUAAUACCGUAUACGUCCUUCGGGAGAAAGAUUUAUCGGAGAUGGAUGAGCCCGCGUUGGAUUAGCUAGUUGGUGGGGUAAAGGCCUACCAAGGCGACGAUCCAUAGCUGGUCUGAGAGGAUGAUCAGCCACACUGGGACUGAGACACGGCCCAGACUCCUACGGGAGGCAGCAGUGGGGAAUAUUGGACAAUGGGCGCAAGCCUGGUCCAGCCAUGGCGCGUGAGUGAUGAAGGCCCGAGUGUUGUAAAGCGCUUUCACCGGUGAAGAUAAUGACGGUAACCAGAGAAGAAGCCCCGGCUAACUUCGUGCCAGCAGCCGCGGUAAAAC